rnacentral:lncRNA from 1 species
AUAUGUUUUGUUGGGUCGAAACUGCCAAUGUUUCCAAUGAUUGACAUACAAAAGACUUAGAAUUGUUUACUUCUGAAAAACGACACUAUACUUUUGUGUGCGCGUCCACGCAUUUGCAUGCAUCCAUCAGAAACACAACAUUGCCGACGAAAUUCCUAGUGUCUUGUGUAUGUAGUGGCUUAUUGCUUCUUUAUACAAAUAUGUCUGAUGUCUCUCUUUCGGUUAACGAGCGCCUGUCUAUAUCAGACAGUGUCGAGAAUAUUAUAAGUGAGUCAGGACAUUUUUGCAUCUGCCUGCACUUGACAACCUUUGGCUCUAUCAUUCGCUUGUGUUGUCUGAUCUAUUUGUUUUAUUUGUGCGUGUUAUAAAUUCAUUUGAGCUUUUUUGUAAUCUGG